rnacentral:rRNA from 1 species
CACGUAGGGUGCGAGCGUUGUCCGGAAUUAUUGGGCGUAAAGAGCUCGUAGGCGGUGUGUCGCGUCGGCCGUGAAAACCUGCAGCUUAACUGUGGGCUUGCGGUCGAUACGGGCAUCACUGGAGUUCGGGCAGGGGAGACUGGAAUUCCUGGUGUAGCGGUGAAAUGCGCAGAUAUCAGGGAGGGAACACCGGGUGGCGAAGGCGGGGU